UACGCAGGGUGCAAGCGUUGUCCGGAAUUAUUGGGCGUAAAGAGCUCGUAGGCGGUUUGUCGCGUCUGCCGUGAAAGUCCGGGGCUCAACUCCGGAUCUGCGGUGGGUACGGGCAGACUAGAGUGAUGUAGGGGAGACUGGAAUUCCUGGUGUAGCGGUGAAAUGCGCAGAUAUCAGGAGGAACACCGAUGGCGAAGGCAGGUCUCUGGGCAUUAACUGACGCUGAGGAGCGAAAGCAUGGGGAGCGAACAGG
rnacentral:rRNA from 1 species